GUGAGGAAUAUUGGGCAAUGCCCGCAAGGGUGACCCAGCAACGCCGCGUGGAGGAUGAAUGUCGUAAGAUUGUAAACUCCUGUUAGAGGGGAAGAAUAGUACCGGUUGGACCGGUAUAUGACUGUACCCUCAGAGAAAGCCCCGGCUAACUACGUGCCAGCAGCCGCGGUAAUACGUAGGGGGCAAGCGUUGUCCGGAUUUACUGGGUGUAAAGGGCGCGCAGGCGGGAUAAAAAGUCAGUGGUGAAAUCCUACAGCUUAACUGUAGAACUGCCUUUGAUACUUUUAUUCUUGAGUUCGGGAGAGAGAGACGGAAUUCCAGGUGUAGUGGUGGAAUACGUAGAUAUCUGGAAGAACACCAGUUGCGAAGGCGGUCUCUUGGUCCGACACUGACGCUGAGGCGCGAAAGCGUGGGGAGCAAACA
rnacentral:rRNA from 1 species